CUUAGGUGCGGGAGUUUUCCGGCCGGUUAGGACAGGUUGAACGAGAAUGUCCCUUUCGGCCACAAUAUAGGCAUAGUCCCUCCCUACGACGGUAUUGUCUUUCAUUCUCAGACAAACGCGUAACUCCCAGUUGCAUAGGUUCUGGAGGAGCGACUGCUGUUGUCUCGGAUGAAGGAUAAGUUAAUGCUAGGCGUUCUGGCACCCGUCGAGGUCUGUCUCUAGUAUU